ACAUGCCUACAACUAGCGUUAAUGCACCAUAUCCCAUUAGAACUCUGCAGUUAAAUGCGCUCGGGCUAGAGUAGUACUAGGAUGGGUGACCUCCCAGGAAGGCUUAGUGUUUUACAUGAC
rnacentral:rRNA from 1 species